rnacentral:misc_RNA from 1 species
GCUUGCUGGACUAUUUCGAACAUCACAGCUGGGAACAAGGAGCAGAUACAGUGCGUAGUUGCUGCUGGUAUUAUUGGCCCUCUAGUUAAUUUGCUGCAAUCUGCUGAGUUUGAUAUUAAGAAAGAGGCAGCAUGGGCCUUGUCAAAUGCUACAUCUGGUGGUACAUCUGAACAAAUCAAGUUCCUUGUUAGUCAAGGUUGUAUCAA